rnacentral:lncRNA from 1 species
GCACGUCUCAAUACGAGCCCGAAUGGCCCAUGGGCUAAUAUGAGCCCACGAGCCGACGAGCGUUCGACUCGUUCACAACCCUUAGUUGUCGGUAGUGACCGAGGCCUAUUUGAACUGAACAUAAAGUCAAAAAAGAAUACAUGUAUAACACAUUUCAAACUCUUAAUAUUUUAGUUAUAUAAAACUUCGUUACUUUUAGUCUAAUAAUGUUUCUAUUGCCACGAGUUCAAAGAUUGAGAUUCCAUGAUGGUCUUGAUGGAUCACUAUGAAUCAAAUAUAGAAUUUUACCAGGCCAUAUUAAUUUUAAGGCUAGAAAUUUUGAAGAUGUGCUCUUUUUUCAUCAAUCUAGGGAGACCUUUGUGGCCAAUGCGACAAGAAGGUCUCUGUGAUUCCCAGCUGGAACACUAUCGUAUAUGGCACUUUUCAAUUCCAUACCAUAUUUUUUCUUGAAGACUUUCUGAAUUUCGUCCAUGUCGACCUCGGCUCGGCUCAUCAUAAUUCGUAUCAAAGCUCCCUUAUCAGUUGUCGUGCCCUUUAAGCAUGUAUACAACGUCUACAAAAGAGACAUGACGAAUAAUUUAAUAGAUUACUUUAUCAGGCAAAUGUUCUAAAAUGGACAUGGUCA